GAAAACAAACAAACAAACAAAAAAACAGAUGCUGUUACCAAACACAGCAGAGACAGAAAGUCACAGAAGAAUGCCAAGGGAAAUUUUCAAAGAAGAGGACAGGAAUACCCAUUCUUGACAUCUCUGACAGAUCAACUAUGUUACUUCACAAAGUGCCAGUAACCUAAGACCUGCAAUUUCCAGAGCAAAGGGAAGGACAGAAUGAGUCAAUGAGAGCAAAGGUUAAACGAAUAUUUCUGUUGUCACUGAAUGGAGCUGCUAGAAAAUUCAUGACUGUCAGAAAGCUUCCUGCUUCCAGAAGGGAAAGAGCAGACAUUUCAACAAUCAGUUUCUGGCUGUUGAUCUCAGCUUUGGAUGAAAUAUCUCCUCUUUUGUGGAAUCUUACAAAGGUUUGAUAGUUUGAAUCAACCACCUGAACUUUGAACUGGAGCUACGAGCACCUUCAGGUGAUAACUUUGUUUCUUAAUUUAAUGGACAACAAAAGGAAACGAGGAUCUUUAAAUAUGCCAUAUUUUUAAUAGGAGUAAUGUGCAAUGUUUCCCACUUCAUUUGUCCUAGUGAAUCAUGAAAGAAAAGGAAUAGAGAGUAAAACAUGAGAUUAAAUGCAGUAGCUAUAAACUCAGGGUAUGAGAAGGUGUUUAAAAUCAAUUUAUUUUAUUGAGCAUAAAAAGUACACCUUGACAUCUGCCAGUGAGAUGAAAACUAUGAAAAAGGAUGUUGUACAAAACUGGUUACAGCAACUUUACUGCUUUAAAGAGGUUCUUAAAGAACUCAGUUCCUAGACAACUGUAGGAUAUACAAAGUUUGGUGUAGGGCUUACACUGAUUUUGAAAACCUGUAGCAUCACUAUGAAAAUUGUGCUGUCAUUUUAGAUCUCCCACAAAACCAUAAUUUAAUUGGCAGUUAUGCAAAUAGAAAAUAUCAGCUUAGAAAACCUUUGGAAUUUGCACUGCAGAAAUAAGUAUCUUCUGUUUCCCAUUUGCUGGUGGUAAGCAGAAAGGCAGUUUUUUGAAAAUACAGAUUUAGGGGUAAGUAUGAUUAUUUUAUUUAGCUUAAUACUUUGUUUUCAGGUAACACAUGCAUAUUGCACUCCUACAAUGUAAUGGGUCUCUGGAGGCUCCUUAGUAAAUCUGGAGAGAUAGUAUUCCAGCGUUAGCAUGGGUUUUGAAUUAAAAGCACUAUAUAUUUUAUUUGAGGCAUUUUUCAGGAUGGGGAUGGGUGUGAGUAGUGGAUAUUAUGAGCCUAGUAAAUUGUGAAAAAGUUAACGUCUUUAACUUAAAAAAAAA